CCCUCAACCAACUGCUGACAGGCAUCCCUGCUGAUAAAAAGUCGCAAAUCCGAAAGAUGCCAGUAAUCAUGGUUUGGGAGCAGUCUUGGCCCAGGUCCAACAAGGGCGAGAACAGUGAUAGCCUAUGCCAGUCGCAGCCUACACCCAACAGAGCGGAAUGAUGCAAAUUAUAGCUCUUUCAAACUAGAGCUCCUGGCUCUUAAGUGGGCAGUAACCGAGAAAUUUAAAGACUAUCUGACUGGAGCCCGAUUCACGGUGUACACUGACAAUAACCCUGUGGCCCACUUACAGACAGCUCGCCUGGGUGCCGUGGAACAGCGCUGGGUCGCACAGCUUGCCUCCUUCGAUUAUGACAUCAAGUACCGCUCAGGUAAAAGUAAUGUAAAUGCAGAUGCCCUGUCUCGGUUCCCAAUUAACCCACUGACUGCAGAUGCCUCAUGUGAAAACCUUGAGCUGGAAACCGUUCCAGUCACGGCAGCCAUUGAACUGACCCCUGAGGGAGGUGAAGAGGAGUGGACAGGCAGAGAGUGGGAGGAGGCACAAGCUGGUGAUGCGGACCUUCAAAUCAUUAAGAGGUAUGUGGAAACCCAAAUGAUACCGACGAGACCAGAGCGCCUGACAUUGUCCCUUAGAGCCCAGAGACUGUUGCAACAAAGCGAAAACUUCAGGUUAAAAGCAAAAUACUGUGUCGUAAAAUGAUUGACCCGCACACACACGAAGUGUGUUUCCAGAUUGUGUGUCCAGAAUCUAGGAGCCAAGAAGUUUGGAAGAGGAUCCAUGAAGCCGCUGCCCAUGCUGGUGUGGAGAGAACCCUAAACCGGAUCCGUCAGCGGUUCUAUUGGCCUGAUAUGGAGAGGGAGGUACGUCAGUUGCAGCAGGGUUGUGUUGCCUGUAACCUGCAGCGAGAUAGGGUGGAGCCUAAGGCCCCCUAAAUCCAUUCACAGUAUCCUACCCCUUAGAAGUGGUGGGGUUGGACUUUUUGUCCUUAGGUCGGCCCACAGACACCUACCAGAACAUUCUUGUUGCUACUGAUCUGUUUACCCGUUUUUCUUGGGCUAUUCCCACUCGAGAUCAAACAGCUCAGACUACAGUAAAGGCCCUGUGGACCCAUGUGAUCCAACCAUUUGGUUGCCCCGCCCGUUUCCAUUCUGACCAGGGACCUAAUUUCGAAUCUGCACUUAUGAAACAAUUUUGUGAUACCUAUGGUAUAACUAAAAGCCGCACAACUCCCUACCGUCCCGCAGGAAAUGGCAGUGCAGAGCGUUUUAAUCAGACCUUGUUAAAUAUGCUCCGCUCUUUAGAGACGUCUAAGCAAUCUCACUGGCCCGACUAUCUGCCCGAACUGACACACGCCUAUAAUAACACCACACACAGUGCGACUGGGUAUACCCCUUCCUUCCUCAUGUUUGGGCGACACCUGCGACUUCCUGUUGAUGUAGGAUUAGGUGUAGGUCCCCAACAGAUGAGGCACGAUGUAGGUGGGUGGGUACAAGACCACCAGCAGAAACUGUCCUUAGCUUAUAGCCUGGCUAAACAAAGAAUAGAGAGUGCAGCCACCCAGAACAAGCAGCACUAUGACAAGAGGGCCAAAGCGUUACCACUUUUACCGGGGAAAGGGUGUGGGUGCGAGAUAGGAACAGACGAGGGGCAGGAAAGUUGUGUACUUGGUGGGACCCAGAGCCAUGGGUGGUGUUGGAGCAGGUGGGGGAUACAGGGGUUGUGUACAAGAUUCAGCCAGAGAAGGGUGGCAGAAUACAAAAUAUCCAUAGGAACUCACUUAAGGUGUGUACAGUACCCCCAACCGAAGUCCCGCUACCAACCACUGAGCCGGUUGUCCAGAUGCAGGGACCCAUCCAGCCCAUGAUCUACGGGUUCCUUCCAGCACCGGUAGCCAUACCGCCUGUGAAUGUGGAACCUGAGGGUGCCCUACGAUGCUCCACCAGGGUAAACUUUGGACAAACUCCAGUCCGUUAUAGAGACUCAUAACAUGUUGCAGGGACUGCUAACUUUAAAGUGUGGGGAGAUGUCACGGGGGAAGUUUGAUUUUAUUUAAGCAUGCUUUUACUUUGAAUUUGCUGUGUUUUUGUCUUAUUUAUUAUUGCAUGCUUUUAUUUUGAAGUGUGUUUGUGUUACGUUGGUUUUACUUCCCCACCGGAGACAUACCUUAAUCAAGCAUAAGGACUUACACCUGGCACCCAGAGAGGGGAGUGACUGUUCUUGGAUAAAAAGGACACUAUGGAAGAUACCCGGGGGCACGAGGGAGGACACAGAGGGCACGAGGGAGGACACAGAGGGCACGAGGGAGGACACGGAGGUCACAACGGGCCGGACAGCAGGAAGCAGACAGAGAGACAGAGCAGAUCAUCGCACUGGAAGAGGUCUGAAGAGACACCGGAGCAAACACCGACCGUUAGCGGCUAUAAUUGGGAGAAGGUAAAACUUCUCCCUCCCGCGUAAGUCCCGUUUCAGACCGGUGUUUGUGUAGUGUGUAAUAUAUAAAGUUGUGCCUUGUUAAAGGACAUUGACUGGCCCUGAGUUUCCCUCGACAGGCUGCCGAAGAGCGGAGCCAGGUGAAGAGCAGGUGGUCGCCACCAGAGACCCGCGACUGCCGUUGUUGACCUCCCACUCCAUCCGUGCCACAUUAUUUUAGCUGGGUUUUAGUUGUUUGUGUUCUUUGUUUAGUUUAUUUGAAGGUAGAGCUUUUAGUUGUUUUUACUUAUUUUAAAAUAAAUUGUGUUCAACUGUG